AUUGAACGCUGGCGGCAUGCCUUACACAUGCAAGUCGAACGCGAAAGGGGGCAACCCUGAGUAGAGUGGCGCACGGGUGAGCAAUACAUCGGAACAUACCCAGUAGUGGGGGACAACCAGUCGAAAGACUGGCUAAUACCGCAUACGACCUACGGGUGAAAGCGGGGGACCGUAAGGCCUCGCGCGAUUGGAUUGGCCGAUGUCUGAUUAGCUAGUUGGUGAGGUAACGGCUCACCAAGGCGACGAUCAGUAGCUGGUCUGAGAGGAUGAUCAGCCACACUGGGACUGAGACACGGCCCAGACUCCUACGGGAGGCAGCAGUGGGGAAUUUUGGACAAUGGGGGCAACCCUGAUCCAGCAAUGCCGCGUGAGUGAAGAAGGCCUUCGGGUUGUAAAGCUCUUUCGGCCGGGACGAAAUCGCUCUGGUGAGUAUCCAGGGUGGAUGACGGUACCGGAAUAAGAAGCCACGGCUAACUACGUGCCAGCCGCCGCGGUAA
rnacentral:rRNA from 1 species